rnacentral:tRNA from 1 species
GCUGGUUUGGCUCAGUGGAUAGAGCCUUGGCCUCCAGAGUCCGGGGUUCGAUUCCCCGACAGGGCA